GAUGAAGAACGUAGCGAAAUGCGAUAAGUAAUGUGAAUUGCAGAAUUCAGUGAAUCAUCGAAUCUUUGAACGCACAUUGCGCCCGCCAGUAUUCUGGCGGGCAUGCCUGUUCGAGCGUCAUUUCAACCAUCAAGCCCCCGGCUUAUGUUGGGGACCUGCGGCUGCCGCAGGCCCUGAAAAGCAGUGGCGGGCUCGCUGUCACACCGAGCGUAGUAGCAUACAUCUCGCUCUGGGCGUGCUGCGGGUUCCGGCCGUUAAACCACCUUCAUAACCCAAGGUUGACCUCGGAUCAGGUAGGAAGACCCGCUGAACUUAAGCAUAUCAAUAAGCGGAGGA
rnacentral:misc_RNA from 1 species